GAUGAAGAACGUAGCGAAAUGCGAUAAGUAGUGUGAAUUGCAGAAUUCAGUGAAUCAUCGAAUCUUUGAACGCACAUUGCGCCCUUUGGUAUUCCCUAGGGCAUGCCUGUUCGAGCGUCAUUUAAACCUUCAAGCUAAGCUUGGUGUUGGGUGACUGUCCGCUUCACGGCGGACUCGCCUCAAAAUUAUUGGCGGCCGGUACAUUGGCUUCGAGCGCAGCAGAAACGCGAACUCGGGCCCGUCGUAUUGGCUCCCAGAAGCUAUCUUCACAAUUUUGACCUCGGAUCAGGUAGGGAUACCCGCUGAACUUAAGCAUAUCAAUAAGCGGAGGA
rnacentral:misc_RNA from 1 species